AGCGGCAGCAUGGCGGUGGAGCUGUGGGGGGUGCUGCUGCCUGUGCGGCGGGUGGCGCUGCUGCCUCUGCGGCCGGUGGCGGGCUCGGAGGAGGAGGAGGAGAGCGAAGAGGAGGCUGAGGAGGAGCCGCACUUGGCGGAGGCUGAGCUCCUGGAGCCUUCCCGGCCGGAGCUGACGGCCGCGCUGCCCCCGCGCCGAGCCGUUAUUAUACGAGACGAAAAGUCUGAAAAGGAAUACGAAGUAGUUGGACGUUUUCCAUUAGUUGGCCCUUGGUGGAGAGUUAAUGUUAAAGCCAAAAAAAUGGGAUCGAAGUACUUUGUGCAAGGAUAUCCAUCAUAUUUCCUACGGACUGAUAUAGAAGAAAACAACCGACAAGUCUUUUCACUCUUUCUUAAGGAAUGUGCUGUUCCUGAGUGUUUUAAAGAAGAGUUUUUUACUUGGCUUCCUACAGAGUCUAAGCUGAAUUUUAGAAAUCUUGAAGAAAAACUGGAAGAGUUCCAAGUUUCACACUUAAGGACAGGAAGGAAGCAAGGAGACACUAAGGAUUAUGACAUCUUCUACUAUGUUUCAAAAUCACUUGCAGGAAAGGCGAUAUUGGUAGCUCUGGCUUUUCCCAUGAUACUGGAGUUCUUGCCAGUUCUUCUGCCACGUCAUUUUUGCUGUCUGUUGGAGAUGGGAUGUUGGCAAAGAGCAACUGAUGAAGACAAUAGUAUGGAUGGUGAGGAAGUACAUUUUCAAGACAAGCUACUAACAAAAUUGGAUGAGAUGUUAAAGAAUGAGCCAUGGAAACUUGGAUUCAGAAGUAUUACCUACAGGGAAUUAAACCUUUCUUACUGUGAGGCAACAUGGGCCACCUUCUGUCAGUGUGAACAUCUCCUCCGGAAGAUUCCUGAGUUGCAGAAGAAUGCGUUAAUUCUAUAUGAUCAACUCAAGAAACAGUGUAGAGAAAUGGGACACACUUACGAAGAUCAAGAUGAAUUGGCUCGUUUUGUAUCUAAAGAUAUGUCCAUUGAGCAUGUUUGGCAGUCUCUUGAAUUUUUGAAAGACCAGAAGGUAGUAAUUAGGGACAAAAAACUAGUGUUUCUGCCUCACCUUUACAAAUCUGAAAAAGACAUUGCAACUUAUGUAUGUGAGCUUCUGACAAACCCCUCAUGGAAACUGGAUGUUGAUGCGAGAAAGAUACUUAAACUUUCUGAGACAUGGAAAGAAAUGAGAGAUAACAAAAUGAAUGUUACCCAGGCUCAUGAAAUGGAACAUCUGAAGGAAAAUAAUCAGGACAAUCACAGCUGUGAAAAUAAUUUUCCUGAAAAGGAAGUGGAGUCUACGUCUGGUACCCAGAGUAAAGCAGAGGUAGACUUAGAUCAGGUAACUGCUGUGGAAAAGAUUUGUUCUAAUCCCGUCACAAUCAUAAGUGGAAAAGGAGGCUGUGGGAAGAGUACAGUAGUUAGCUGCCUUUUUCGUCACUUAAAGCAGAUGGAAAAAGAAGUGGAAGCUGCCUCUAAGGACUUUGAAGAAGACCUGGAUGCGUCUGAGGAAUGGAAUACCUUUGGUAAUCACUGGGAAUCAGAGAAUGUGUACACAAAAAAUUUUUUGAAUGUCUUGUUUACUGCACCUACAGGGAGGGCAGCAAGCCUUUUGAGUGAAAAAACUAAGCUUCCUGCAUAUACACUGCAUCAGGUCAUCUAUAGUUUUAAAUCAUGGAGGCAGAGAGAACAUGGAGAGCCGUGGAAGUUUUCUUCUGUGACAGUUCUGAUUGUGGAUGAAGGAAGUUUGGUGUCUGUACACAUUCUUAGUUUAGUUUUAAGAGUCUUGUGUGAGCAUGCUCAGCUUGCCAAACUUAUUAUUCUAGGUGAUACUAGACAACUACCAAGCAUAGACCCAGGAAACAUGUUGGCAGAUAUCUUUGAGGGUCUAAAAUCAAGAGGCUUUUCUGUGGAGCUGCGAACUAAUCACAGAGCUGAAUCACAACUAAUAGUAGAUAAUGCAUCAAGAAUCUCUCAUCGGAAGUUUCCUGAAUUUGAUGAGGUGCUGGAAGUUUCUGGCUGGAACAAGGAAAUGACAAUGCCAAGCCCAGAGAAGAAAUUCAUUCUUAUUGCUUUGCCUGCUGAUGGGGGUGCUGAUGUUUUGCAAACUGCCAUAAAGACUUUACUUAAAACAGGACCAGGAUUGCAGGAUGCCAAACAAUCACAGUUCAUUGCCUUCAGAAGGCAAGAUUGCGAUCUAAUAAAUGAACUUUGUUGCCAGCACUACUCAAAUCAUUUAACCAGAGACCAUAAAAAAAGACUUUUAUUUCAAAUUGGUGACAAGAUAUCCUGCAUGCGGAAUACGUAUCUUAAGGACCUCUUGCCAGAUCAUGAUUUCAGAGAGGGUCCUGGUCGCCAUGGUUGCAAAAGUGGACAAACUGCCCUCGCUACAGCGGCUGUUGAGGACGGCAGGCGACUGUGCAAUGGAGAUAUAUUUUUUAUAACAGAGGAUGUAGAAAUCAAUAAACAGCGCUUACUGACCAUCAGCAGCACGUAUGGGUCCACGUACACUGUGAGGUAUAAGGCACUUAAGAAGCUCUGUCAUAUAAGACACGCAUGGGCCAGAACUAUUCACACAUUUCAGGGUUCUGAGGAAAAAACCGUUGUCUACGUGGUUGGCAAUCCUGGCCGUCAGCACUGGCAGCAUGUGUACACCGCCGUGACCAGAGGACGCUGCCGUGUCUAUGUUAUAGCUGAACAGCUGCACCUCAGGAGGGCAAUUAAGAACAGGAAUGUGCCCAGAAAAACUUGCUUACAGAGGUUCUUAAAGGAGGCAAUUGCAAACACAGGCAACUGUCCCAACCAACCUUCCUCUCCCCUGACAAAGAGAUGGCAAAGCCAAGAACUUGAGACUCCAUCUGUUUCGGUAACUCAAGGUGUUCCUAACCCAUGUGAACCUCUAACUGACUUGAUUAAACAGGAAAGGGCAGCAGCUCUCCAUAAAGAAGGGCAGAGGGAUAGUUUGCAGCAAAGUCCAUGUAAAAGACAACAAACUCUUGCAGACAAUUCUGAGGCUGCUGUGGAAACACUCUCUAAAACAGUAGAAGAUUCCCCACUUGGGUCUUCCAGACUUAAGAAUCUAACUUUGGGACAACCAACUCCUAGGAAGCUUUUCAAAAGCUAACAUAAAAUUAACUGGCCUCGUUAUGAAUCUUUCUGGAACCUGUUUCAUUCAAGGCUUUUGGAACGGAGAAGCUGCGUAUGCAGAUGAUUUUUUAAAGGCUUUCCUGUAUUUGAGUAUUCUGUGAAGAACAGCUCGUUUUAAAGUAAGCCUUUUUUAUUUUCAGGGAUCUGUUUUUAGUAGGAGAUACCUUGGUGUGGUGCUCAUCAAAACUGAAUCAUCCUUUGUGGUUUUUUAAAGAAGAAUGAACUUACAGAUCUUAGAGGAUCCAGGCAUUCCCUCAAAAAAAUACACACAGAUUUCUUGAUUUGAAGACACUUAGCAGCUAUCUGUACCAAGACAAAUCCAUUUCCUAAUGCCACUGGAUUGUUGAGAAGCUUAGUGAUGUGCCAAAACUGCAGCUUGCUCUGGACUCAAAAAUUAGUUUACGAAGGGGACUUCAGAUUUUUCUAAAGUGGCGGAUUUACGGGUAUGAAGCUUUGAUGGAAUCUGGAUUUUAAUCUUGUUAGAAAUAAAAGAAGGAAGUUGAAGUCAGUGACACUGGAUUUUUUUUCCCUUAAAAGAGAUGCAGAACUUGCCAUUGCUGCUUUAGCUAAAUAGUUAAAUGCUGAUCAUGACAUGCUGAUCAUGUGCUUGCCUCGAAUGUUGUUCUGACCUUUUCUGGCAGUGCUGAAUUAGAAGUCAGAGAUACUUGGUGUGUGCGGGGCAGGUGAGCUUGGUCAUGUAUUGGAAACAGCAACAGGGAUACAGUUAAACAGUUUAAAUUGACCAGAAACAACUCUGUAAGGAUCCCGUGUCUCCAUAUUAAGACUAGCGUGUCCACUCUGUUGAAGGAAGGCAUUGUUCUGGUCACUCCACUCCCCGCUUGCUGAAGCCUGUUCUGAGCUUCCUUUCUGAGAUGCCAGGGGAUUUCUGCUGAUCACCAGUUCCAGCUUAUUGCCAGAUUCUGCGAUGAGGGGCACAACUAGACAGCAGUCAAAGUCUCUGGUGCGAACGUGGUUUACCUGAGCGAUGAGAAGAUGGAUUUUUCUCAGCAUUUUAGGAAAAAGACUUAAAUGAGAUCAAAAGAGAAACCGACUCAUCUUUGAGACUAUAGGGACCAAUAUAAAUAUUCCAGGUUGAGAAUCACCUGUACAUGACUAGUUAAUCACGGUGCUUGGUCCAAAGACAUCAGUGGAGUUUUCUACUCCCCCUUACCAGAGCAUAGCUGCAGUGGGCAUAUUUACACUGGUGACAGCCAUUGGCGGCACUCACCAUGCCCAGCUCAUAAAUGACAUUUAACAGCACGUGGUUUUUCUGUCUUUCACGGCGUUCAUAAAUAUAAAUCAGAUCACCUCUAUUCUGUCCAUUCUGUUCAGGUCUGCUCUUGGUUUUAAUUAAUAUUAAGUAUUUUAUUGGGGAAGUUGACAGAAAUGUACUUUUUCCAUUCAUGGUUCAACCUGGCACGUGGGAAGCGUGGUGCCCAGGGAGUAUUACGUUCUUACAACUCUUUGUCAGUCAGCAACUUGGGUUAAGCACAGAAACAGCUCUCAGGUCUGUGUGAAGAACAGCAAAAAUUACAAAUAUGUCUGGAAACACUUUGGGAGAUUCCAGCUUUCCAGUGGAGUGUUGGUGUGUCUCCUUUGGAGUUCUGAAAUACCCAACAUUCUGAAAGAAACUUGUUUCUUCAAAUGUGACCUCACAGAAAAAUCUGGCCUCAGUGCCACUCGGCCACAGAAGCCCAAGUCACCACCAUGUGCUGCCUUUUCUUGUGAAGGGUCUUGGUGAUUUACGUGGCCCAUGGUGCAGAGCACUCACAGUUGUUUGUCCUCCUUCCUAUCCCCCUACAGCCCUCCUUUCCCAGCAGGAACCCAAAAGAACAGCACUGCUCAUCAUUUAAGGUACAACGAGCAACGGAGGUCAGGAGGUGGUUCUGAAUCAACAAUGAAAGCACUUUUCUGUACUCCCCUGUGGGUACAGAGGUGCCUCCUGCAGCAUGGUUACAACACUGGUGUCACCUCUGUGGUAUCAGGAGCGUUACCUGUAGAAGCCUGUCGUAGGGUUUGAGGCCCCCCAGAUCGCCAGGCCCAGAUGGACGGAUGUUUUUAACGUACACGCCUUUUUCCAGCAAACCAUCCGAGACGCUGAAUCCAAAGUCUUCUCCAUCUGAGUCCUUGUACAAAGUUACCUGUGGAGGUGAUGUGACAUGAGAAGGAAGGAAAGAAAAAAAGAAAAACUAAAACCCAAGGUUUGCCCACACUUCUGCAGCACUAGGCAGUGGAGUUAAGUGGAGGUGGAUCCAACCUCAGAUGAACUAGAAAAACAUGUGAAACGGGACCCUCUGAAGACUAUACUUGCCCUAAGGCAGGAUCAUCUGCAUCUUAACCCAGUUCUGACAGACAUUUAUCUGUAUUGCUUUUUAAAACCUCCAGUGAUGGAGACUCCACAGCCCGUUAAGGGUUUUUUCUUUGGUAGAAUCAUACGCUCUUGCUCUCCCACAAUGGAAUUAUGAAAAACCAGUGGAAGGCCAACCUUAGCUGGCCCAUUUCUGCAAUCAAACAUAAGGAUGAACUGUGCUCUGUCAGGCACACAGGCCCUGACUCAGCUGGCAUACAGGCUCCUUGCACAGAGGCAGUAACUCAGCACCUGACCUGUCCUGCUGAAGAAACUGGGGAAACUCAUCAGCAUGCAGUCAAGUGCAUGCCUCAAAGUCUGGCUGAGGUAAGUCUUGGGCAAGGUUAUGUCUUAGCUUGUAUUUCAGAGACUGUUUAUACCAUCGCAGUUUUCCAGAACGGUUGUACUUUCAGCAGUUGUGCUAUCAGUGGCCCAGCCAAUCGGUUGCCUGCAGAGUCAGAGCACAUUUGCUGGCCAGACUGGUUAUGAAAAAUACUUAAGGCAUUGCUCUGACAGUGAAGUGAUUCCUGUGGCAUUGCAAUGCUUUGGGAGAACUGUCAUUGGACCAGCUGUCCAUGAGAAAUGGCAACCAAACAGGUUAUUAGUGUUAAACUAGAGGUCCAAUACAAAAACGAAGGAGGAGAAAGUAACAGGCACAUUGCUACCCAAGAACCAAUAAGGAAGUUAACAAGAGCUUGGUAAGGUGGGCAAGUGUCAUACAGAUCUCUUCAAACAUUUGUUCUAUACAGUUUAAUAACAUUUAACUGGACAGCAUAUGGCCAGAUCAAUAGUCAAGUUUAAUUAAUGUCUUUAAUUGGUACAAAAGCAUCCCACGAUGCUUGGGUUAACCUGCAUAUGUGACCAUAGUGGUACAAGCUGACUUUGGUGAAUCAGACCAUAAGAUCCAGUCACUGGCUUCUGUUUUUCUUCAACAAUUUCAAGGACUUGGAAACUCCUUCAUGCAGGUUCAACUUCUAGAUUUUUAGAAAAAAAAAGACGCUUUUCUGGAUGACAGCACAGGCAGUAAAAGCAAACUCAGCAUCACUUCAUCAGACAGGGGAAAAGUGGGUACACUGUCUGAACAAACACUGGAAAUUACUAAAAUGGAAGGUCGUGGCAAUCUUAAAAAAUAGGCGAGUGAAGAGAGAGGACGCUCAAGGACAGGAUAUUUUUUACUACCCAGAGCUCUUAAGAGCUAGCAGCUAUCAUACAAUACUGACUCAUUACUAGAAACCUGACUUCUCUUUUCCAGGAAAGGAUUUAUUUUAUCAUUCGUGAAAGGCUGGGUUUAUCCUCCACAGGAGAAAACUCUGCCUUGGUGGAACAUAAGUGCACCGUGAAACGCCUGCAGGCAUAGUUGUGCUUUAUAUCUCACAUUUAAUCGCCACUGAGGAAGACUGAGCACACUAACUCACUCCAUUAAUCACUUCACAUCAAGCUGGGAAUAUGAAUAGCUAAAAACUGUCACAGCACAUCCUAUUGAUUGUUUACCUUGGCAAUGGAUUCACUUUCCAUAGAUAAGAUCCACCCGCUAGUACCUUCUGCAAACAUCCACUUAGCCCAUACUUGACGAGUCUUUACCUCACUGAACUAAAAGGAACAAACUAAACUCAGUCAAAUCCACAGAGACUAGAACCCAAAUCAGCUUUCUUAAGAAUGUCUUAAUGGGAUUUCUCCAUGCUUCUGCCUCUUCUCUGGGAAGAUCUCAGCCCUUUAAGGAGAGGGGAAGCUCAUUGUCAUCAAGGAGAACAGCAUUAUAAUGUCCACCAAAGUUCUGGAAACUGAUUUGCUGCGAUUGCCCCACCAGCCUUGAGAUAAGCUGGUAGGGUGUUUGCUGUGCACAUCUAAAGAUACUUUGUCCAGUACUUCCUUGGGGUGCAGAGACAUCUUCAUGUCACCAGGUGAUUUCAACAGUUUUGAGUGGUGGAAAGUUGCACAGACUGAAGAUUAUUUAUCCUUUUUAGAGCAAAAGAAUUACAAGAGAAGCAACAGCUAAUUUUGAAUAACGUUCUAGAUUAUGUAUAUUGGGUCUCAUGUAUUUGAUUCAAAAUGAGUGUUAAUUUGAAAAAGGACCAAUGGGAGCCCCAAA